rnacentral:rRNA from 1 species
UGGGGAAUUUUGCACAAUGGGGGAAACCCUGAUGCAGCGACGCCGCGUGAUUUAGAAGGCCUUCGGGUUGUAAAAAUCUUUUCUAUGGGAAGAAAAUGACAGUACCAUAGGAAUAAGGACCGGCUAAUUACGUGCCAGCAGCCGCGGUAAUACGUAAGGUCCGAGCGUUGUCCGGAAUCAUUGGGCGUAAAGGGUACGUAGGCGGGUAAGCAAGUUAGAAGUGAAAUCCUAUAGCUCAACUAUAGUAAGCUUUUAAAACUGCUCAUCUUGAGGUAUGGAAGGGAAAGUGGAAUUCCUAGUGUAGCGGUGAGAUGCGCAGAUAUUAGGAGGAAUACCGGUGGCGAAGGCGACUUUCUGGCCAUAACCUGACGCUGAGGUACGAAAGCGUGAGUAGCGAACAGG